rnacentral:rRNA from 1 species
AUUGAACGCUGGCGGCAUGCUUUACACAUGCAAGUCGAACGGUAACAGGGAGCUUGCUCCGCUGACGAGUGGCGAACGGGUGAGUAAUGCGUCGGAACGUGCCGAGUAGUGGGGGAUAACGCAGCGAAAGUUGUGCUAAUACCGCAUACGUACUGAGGUAGAAAGUGGGGGACCUUCGGGCCUCACGCUAUUCGAGCGGCCGACGUCUGAUUAGCUAGUAGGUGAGGUAAAGGCUCACCUAGGCGACGAUCAGUAGCGGGUCUGAGAGGAUGAUCCGCCACACGGGGACUGAGACAGGGCCCAGACUCCUACGGGAGGCAGCAGUGGGGAAUUUUGGACAAUGGGCGAAAGCCUGAUCCAGCCAUGCCGCGUGUCUGAAGAAGGCCUUCGGGUUGUAAAGGACUUUUGUCGGGGAGGAAAUCCCCAGCGCUAAUACCGCUGGGGGAUGACAGUACCUGAAGAAUAAGCACCGGCUAACUACGUGCCAGCCGCCGCCGUAACAC